rnacentral:rRNA from 1 species
CGCAAGCCUGACGGAGCAAUACCGCGUGAGGGAGGAAGGCUCUUGGGUUGUAAACCUCUUUUCUCAGGGAAGAAGCAAUGACGGUACCUGAGGAAUAAGCAUCGGCUAACUCCGUGCCAGCAGCCGCGGUAAUACGGAGGAUGCAAGCGUUAUCCGGAAUUAUUGGGCGUAAAGCGUCCGCAGGUGGCUCGACAAGUCUGCUGUCAAAGACCGAAGCUCAACUUCGGGUAGGCGGUGGAAACUGUCAAGCUAGAGACCGGUAGGGGUAGAGGGAAUUCACAGUGUAGCGGUGAAAUGCGUAGAUAUUGUGAAGAACACCAGUGGCGAAGGCGCUCUACUGGGCCGGUACUGACACUCAGGGACGAAAGCUAGGGGAGCG